rnacentral:rRNA from 1 species
GAGUUUGAUCCUGGCUCAGAUUGAACGCUGGCGGCAGGCCUAACACAUGCAAGUCGAACGGUAACAGGAAGNAGCUUGCUNCUUNGCUGACGAGUGGCGGACGGGUGAGUAAUGUCUGGGAAACUGCCUGAUGGAGGGGGAUAACUACUGGAAACGGUAGCUAAUACCGCAUAACGUCGCAAGACCAAAGAGGGGGACCUUCGGGCCUCUUGCCAUCGGAUGUGCCCAGAUGGGAUUAGCUAGUAGGUGGGGUAACGGCUCACCUAGGCGACGAUCCCUAGCUGGUCUGAGAGGAUGACCAGCCACACUGGAACUGAGACACGGUCCAGACUCCUACGGGAGGCAGCAGUGGGGAAUAUUGCACAAUGGGCGCAAGCCUGAUGCAGCCAUGCCGCGUGUAUGAAGAAGGCCUUCGGGUUGUAAAGUACUUUCAGCGGGGAGGAAGGGAGUAAAGUUAAUACCUUUGCUCAUUGACGUUACCCGCAGAAGAAGCACCGGCUAACUCCGUGCCAGCAGCCCGCG